UACAGAGGGUGCAAGCGUUAAUCGGAAUUACUGGGCGUAAAGCGUGCGUAGACGGUUACAUAAGUCGGGUGUGAAAGCCCCGGGCUCAACCUGGGAAUUGCAUUCGAGACUGCGUAGCUAGGGUGCGGAAGAGGGAAGCGGAAUUUCCGGUGUAGCGGUGAAAUGCGUAGAGAUGCGGAGGAACACCGAUGGCGAAGGCAGCCCCCUGGGCUAACACUGACGCUCAGGCACGAAAGCGUGGGGAGCAAACAGG
rnacentral:rRNA from 1 species